rnacentral:rRNA from 1 species
UACGAAGGGGGCUAGCGUUGCUCGGAAUUACUGGGCGUAAAGGGCGCGUAGGCGGAUAUCUAAGUUGGGGGUGAAAUCCCGGGGCUCAACCUCGGAAUUGCCUUCAAAACUGGAUAUCUUGAGUUCGGGAGAGGUGAGUGGAACUGCGAGUGUAGAGGUGAAAUUCGUAGAUAUUCGCAAGAACACCAGUGGCGAAGGCGGCUUACUGGUCCGGAACUGACGCUGAGGUGCGAAAGCGUGGGGAGCAAACAGG